UACGAAGGGUGCAAGCGUUAAUCGGAAUUACUGGGCGUAAAGCGUGCGCAGGCGGUUCGUUGUGUCGGUGGUGAAAGCCCCGGGCUUAACCUGGGAAUGGCCAUGGAAACUGGCGAACUGGAGUGUGGCAGAGGGGGGUGGAAUUCCGCGUGUAGCAGUGAAAUGCGUAGAGAUGCGGAGGAACACCGAUGGCGAAGGCAGCCCCCUGGGCUGACACUGACGCUCAGGCACGAAAGCGUGGGGAGCGAACAGG
rnacentral:rRNA from 1 species